rnacentral:rRNA from 1 species
UACGUAGGGCGCAAGCGUUUGUCCGGAAUUAUUGGGCGUAAAGAGCUCGUAGGCGGUUUGUCGCGUCUGCUGUGAAAACCUAAGGCUCAACCUGGGCUUGCAUGCGGUAGGUACGAGACUAGAGUGUGGCAGGGGUGACUGGAAUUCCUGGUGUAGCGGUGAAAUGCGCAGAUAUCAGGAGGAACACCGGUGGCGAAGGCGGGUCUCUGGGCCAAUACUGACGCUGGAGGAGCGAAAGCGUGGGGAGCAAACAGG